rnacentral:snRNA from 1 species
GACGGCGCGGUCAUUUUCAAGCCUGACUAUCCCCUCGCCUUUUACUAGGGGAUACCGUGCGAGUGGUCGAUACAACGCCGUCUAUGGCAAUUUUUCAGAACAAUGUUCUCUCUGAACAUC